UAGCAACACUAACGUCUGGGAACAAGUGUUCUUAUUAUGACGCCAGUUUCAGUCUGAAGGGAAGCUGGUAUUUACUAAACUGUCAAGGACCAGAAAUACCUGAAAUAUCCAUACGCAGUACAAAAAA